UCAAGAUCUCUUAUAAAAAGAACACCCACCUCUCACACCAAGGAGUAAAUGAACUCUGAGGGGCACAGUGCAUCGUAUACAACGUGCUCAAUAAAUGGUAGGCGGAAGAGGCGGUCAGACCAAGCAGAACCGUGGAUGGAAACUCCUACAAGUCUGUGACCCGGUUUCCAAGAAGUAGAGUUUGGAGCUGAAAGAACAACAUAGCAACAUUCCCAUGAUGACUACAGGUCUACAUUCGGUUGGAAAGAAUUUUGACCCGCGCAUCAGGGGAGAGCUUGAUGGAACGCUUUCCCGGUAAAGAAACCCAGAGCUAACUGGACAGGUCCAACCCACUUAGCCUCAUCUUCGGACCCAGUAUUGCAUAAGUCUUAUCUCAAGGAAUCCCGGAGACCUGGCCUAAGAUCACUGGCAGUUCUAGCUGGAGCUCAGAAUUGUGACCCAUGGGGUUUGGAGUCCAAUAGACCCUGGUUCAGAUCUUAAUUUCUCUAACCCUCAGUUUCUUCCUGUGUGAAAGUAAUCGUAACAAUGCUCUCCUUGCAAGACUGCCGUGAGGAUUAAAUGCGGUAUUGUGUCGGAAAGCA